rnacentral:rRNA from 1 species
UUUCGAAUCAUUCACAAUGGGCGAAAGCCUGAUGGUGCGACGCCGCGUGAGGGAUGAAGGUCUUCGGAUUGUAAACCUCUGUCACUGGGGAGAAAACGCUUCAGGUUAAUAGCCUGAAGCCUGAUUUAACCCGGAGAGGAAGCAGUGGCUAACUCUGUGCCAGCAGCCGCGGUAAUACAGAGACUGCAAGCGUUAUUCGGAUUCACUGGGCGUAAAGGGUGCGCAGGCGGUUGAGUGUGUCAGAUGUGAAAUCCCGAGGCUCAACCUCGGAACUGCGUCUGAAACUACUCGACUAGAGUAUUGGAGAGGGUAACGGAAUUCACGGUGUAGCAGUGAAAUGCGUAGAUAUCGUGAGGAACACCAGAGGCGAAGGCGGUUACCUGGACAAUUACUGACGCUCAGGCACGAAAGCGUGGGGAGCAAAAGGG